AGAGUUUGAUCAUGGCUCAGGAUGAACGCUGGCGGCGUGCCUAACACAUGCAAGUCGAGCGAUUUUCUUCGGAGAAGAGCGGCGGACGGGUGAGUAACGCGUGGGUAACCUGCCCUGUACACACGGAUAACAUACCGAAAGGUAUGCUAAUACGAGAUAACAUACUUUUAUCGCAUGGUAGAAGUAUCAAAGCUUUUGCGGUACAGGAUGGACCCGCGUCUGAUUAGCUAGUUGGUAAGGUAACGGCUUACCAAGGCGACGAUCAGUAGCCGACCUGAGAGGGUGAUCGGCCACAUUGGAACUGAGACACGGUCCAAACUCCUACGGGAGGCAGCAGUGGGGAAUAUUGCACAAUGGGCGAAAGCCUGAUGCAGCAACGCCGCGUGAGCGAUGAAGGCCUUCGGGUCGUAAAGCUCUGUCCUCAAGGAAGAUAAUGACGGUACUUGAGGAGGAAGCCCCGGCUAACUACGUGCCAGCAGCCGCGGUAAUACGUAGGGGGCUAGCGUUAUCCGGAAUUACUGGGCGUAAAGGGUGCGUAGGUGGUUUCUUAAGUCAGAGGUGAAAGGCUACGGCUCAACCGUAGUAAGCCUUUGAAACUGGGAAACUUGAGUGCAGGAGAGGAGAGUGGAAUUCCUAGUGUAGCGGUGAAAUGCGUAGAUAUUAGGAGGAACACCAGUUGCGAAGGCGGCUCUCUGGACUGUAACUGACACUGAGGCACGAAAGCGUGGGGAGCAAACAGGAUUAGAUACCCUGGUAGU
rnacentral:rRNA from 1 species